GCAAACUUAUAAGAGCAUAUGGUGGAUGCCUAGACAUCAAUGGACGAUGAAGGACGUAGCAACCUGCGAUAAUCUUCGGGGAGGUGGUAAGCAACCUUUGAUCCGGAGGUCUCCGAAUGGGGAAACCCAGCCGAGCAAACCUCGGCUAUCUCUACCUGAAUACAUAGGGUAGUUGAAGAAGACCUGGGGAAGUGAAACAUCUCAGUACCCAGAGGAAUAUAAAAUAAUAAUGAUUCCCUUAGUAGUGGCGAGCGAACGGGGACAAGCCCAAACCUUGUAGGAAUGAUUUUCCGCAAAUUCUUUUUCUUCGGAAGGAGGAGGCGUGGUUUAUUAACGGCUGUAGGGCUAAUGCUUACAAGGUGUAGCGGGAUGGUCAUGUUCACACACCUAUUAUGUGUGGAGUAGGAGUGUUGCUGUUUAGUUGAGUGGGCUGGAAAGCCCAACCAAAGAAGGUGAAAGUCCUGUAAACGAAAAGCAGUAAUGCACUACUAUGAUUAUUCCCAAGUACGGCGGGACACGUGAAAUCCCGUCUGAAUCUGCCGGGACUAUCCGGUAAGGCUAAAUACCAUUGAUGAUCGAUAGUGAACUAGUACCGUGAGGGAAAGGUGAAAAGCACCCCGAUGAGGGGGCAUGAAAAGUAUCUGAAACCAUAUGCUUACAAGGAGUCGGAGCCCGGUUUUUACUGGGUGACGGCGUGCCUAUUGAAGAAUGAGCCAACGAGUUCGUGUAUGUUGCAUGCUUAAGUUCGAGAAGAACGAAGGCGUAGUGAAAGCGAGGGUUAACUGCCCGAUUUAGUAGCAUAUACGAGACCCGAAACCGAGUGAUCUAGCCAUGGCCAGGGUGAAGACUUGGGAAACCAAGUUGGAGGCCCGAACCCACUCGCCGUGCAACACGAGGGGAUGAGCUGUGGUUAGCGGUGAAAUACUAAUCGAACUCGGUAAUAGCUGGUUCUCUCCGAAACAGUUUUAGGACUGGCCUUUGAUGUUCCUUUUGGGGGUAGAGCACUGAAUAGGGGUGGGUGGGCAACCAUACCAUCCUUAAUCAAACUCCGAAUACCAAAAGUCAAAAAUCAGAGAGUUAGACUGUGGGGGCUAAGCUCCAUAGUCGAAAGGGAAACAGCCCAGACCGUAAUAUAAGGUCCCUAAAUUUAGGUUAAGUGUUAAAGGUAGUGAGAUGACUUGCACAACUAGGAGGUUGGCUUAGAAGCAGCCAUCCUUUAAAGAUAGCGUAACAGCUCACUAGUCUAGUCGUCUUGCAUCGAAAAUGUAGCGGGGCUAAAACCUAAUACCGAAUAUACGGGUUCUAUAUCAAUUACGAUGUAGAGCGGUAGGAGAGCGUUCCAUGGGCACUGAAGCCGGACUCGCGAGAGCCGGUGGAGCGCAUGGAAGUGAGAAUGUUGGCAUGAGUAGCAAAAAGACCGGUGAGAAACCGGUCCACCGUAAACCUAAGGUUUCCUGGGCAAUGUUUGUCAACCCAGGGUUAGUCGGACCUAAGGCGAGGCCGAAAGGCGUAGUCGAUGGAUGAGCAGGUUAAUAUUCCUGCACUACUAUUAGUUCUCGAUGGGGGGACGUGGUUUAUGACAGUGAGCGUAAUUUGGUUAUGUACGUUGGUGGCUAGUAGAGUGGUUCUAGGCAAAUCCGGAACCAUAAAGCUCGAACGUUGCCUGAAGAAACAGCUACGGUUGUUUCAAUUCACAAUAUUAAAUCACCAAGAAAAUCCUCUAGAGUUAAGCUAAUAGUACCCGUACCGUAAACCAACACAGGUAGGUGAGGCGAGUAGCCUCAGGUGUACGAGAGAACCCUUGUUCAGGAACUCGGCAAAACAGCGGCCGUAACUUCGGGAUAAGGCCUGCCCCGAGUAAUCGGGGCCGCAGCAAAAGACUUCACGCGACUGUUUACCAAAAACACAGGUCUCUGCUAAGUCGCAAGACAAAGUAUAGGGGCUGACGCCUGGCCAGUGUCCGAACGUUAAAGUGAUGGGUGCAAGCCUUGAUCUGAAGCGCGGAUGAACGCCGGCGAUAACUAUAAUCGUCCUAAGGUAGCGAAAUUCCUUGUCGGGUGAGUUCCGACCCGCACGAAUGGCGUAACGGUGUGAAGACUGUCUUAACAAGGGACUCGGCGAAAUUGCAAUACGAGUAAAGAUGCUCGUUACCCGCAGCCGGACGAAAAGACCCCGUGAAGCUUUACUACAACUUGACAUUGAAUUAAGGGUAUGCAUGCUCAGUAUAGGUGGGAGCCUUCGGGCAACAGUGAGAUACCACCCUUGUAUGCUUUUAAUUCUAAUCUUGUCCCGUUAUCCGGGAUGGAAACAGUGUCUGGCGGGUAGUUUAACUGGGGCGGUUGCCUCCCAAAAAGUAACGGAGGCGUUUACAAAGGUUGGCUAGAUCCCGAUGGAAACGGGAUUGAUAGUGCAAACGCAUAAGCCAGCUUUACUGCGAGACCUACAAGUCGAGCAGUUGCGAAAGCAGAAGUUAGUGAUCCGACCGUACGAUAUAGGACGGCGGAAGCUCAACGGAUAAAAGCUACUCCGGGGAUAACAGGCUAGUCGCGCCCAAGCGUCCAUAGCGACGGCGCGGUUCGGCACCUCGAUGUCGGCUCGUCUCAUCCUGGGGGUGAAGAAGCUCCCAAGGGUUUGGCUGUUCGCCAAUUAAAGAGGCACGCGAGCUGGGUUCAGAACGUCGUGAGACAGUUCGGUCUCCUAUCCGCUGCGGGCGUUAGAAAUUUGAGAAGACUCUUCCCUAGUACGAGAGGACCGGGAAGGACGGACCUCUGGUGUACCAGUUGUUCUACCAAGGGCAUUGCUGGGUAGCCAAGUUCGGUUAGGAUAAGCGCUGAAAGCAUAUAAGCGCGAAGCCGACUUCAAGAUUAGAUUUCUUUAUGAGACACCUCAGAGACUAUGAGGUUGAUAGGCGGUAAGUGUAAGUCUGGCAACAGAUUUAGCUGAGCCGUACUAAUUUGUCCAAU
rnacentral:rRNA from 1 species